UACGGGGGGGGCAAGCGUUGUUCGGAAUUACUGGGCGUAAAGGGCGCGUAGGCGGCCUGCUAAGUCGGAUGUGAAAUCCCUCGGCUCAACCGAGGAACUGCAUCCGAUACUGGCGGGCUUGAAUCCGGGAGAGGGAUGUGGAAUUCCAGGUGUAGCGGUGAAAUGCGUAGAUAUCUGGAGGAACACCGGUGGCGAAGGCGGCAUCCUGGACCGGUAUUGACGCUGAGGUGCGAAAGCUAGGGGAGCAAACGGG
rnacentral:rRNA from 1 species